AGAGUUUGAUCCUGGCUCAGAACGAACGCUGGCGGCGCGUUUUAAGCAUGCAAGUCGAGGGAGAAUCAAGUGCUUGCACUUGAGGAAACCGGCGCACGGGUGAGUAACACGUGAGAAUCUACCUUGAGGCGGGGGAUAACCCAUGGAAACAUGGGGUAAUACCGCAUAUGUCUACGGACGAAAGGCACUUUUGUGCCACCUUGAGAUGAGCUUGCGGGUCAUUAGCUAGUUGGUAGGGUAAAGGCCUACCAAGGCGACGAUGACUAGCCGGCCUGAGAGGGUGAUCGGCCACAUUGGGACUGAGACACGGCCCAGACUCCUACGGGAGGCAGCAGCUAAGAAUAUUCCGCAAUAGGGGAAACCCUGACGGAGCGACGCCGCGUGAAUGAUGAAGGCCGAAAGGUUGUAAAGUUCUUUUAUAAGGGAAGAAUAAUGGUGGUGAGAGAAACGCCAUCAGAUGACGGUACCUUAUGAAUAAGCCCCGGCUAACUACGUGCCAGCAGCCGCGGUAAUACGUAGGGGGCAAGCGUUGUUCGGAUUCAUUGGGCGUAAAGGGCAUGUAGGCGGUUGUGCAAGUGUGGAUUGAAAGACCGGAGCUUAACUCCGUGUUUGGUCUGCAAACUGCACAACUAGAGUACAGGAUGGGAGAGUGGAAUUCCGCGUGUAGGGGUGAAAUCUGUAGAGAUGCGGAAGAAUACCGGUGGCGAAGGCGACUCUCUGGCCUGUAACUGACGCUAAGGUGCGAAAGUGUGGGUAUCGAACAGGAUUAGAUACCCUGGUAGUCCACACUGUAAACGUUGUACACUAGGUGUCAGGGGUAUCGACCCCCCUGGUGCCGUAGCUAACGCGAUAAGUGUACCGCCUGGGGAGUACACUCGCAAGGGUGAAACUCAAAGGAAUUGACGGGGGCCCGCACAAGCGGUGGAGCAUGUGGUUUAAUUCGACGAUACGCGAAAAACCUUACCAGGGCUUGACAUACAGUUGAUCGGUGCAGAGAUGUGCCUUUCCUUCGGGACAGCUGUACAGGUGCUGCAUGGUUGUCGUCAGCUCGUGUUGUGAGAUGUUGGGUUAAGUCCCGCAACGAGCGCAACCCUUACUGUUAGUUGCCAUCAGGUUAUGCUGGGCACUCUAGCAGGACUGCCGGUGACAAACCGGAGGAAGGUGGGGAUGACGUCAAAUCCUCAUGGCCCUUAUGUCCUGGGCUACACACGUGCUACAAUGGGCUGUACAAAGGGUUGCAAUCCCGCGAGGGGGAGCCAAUCCCAAAAAGCAGUCCGUAGUUCGGAUUGGAGUCUGCAACUCGACUCCAUGAAGCCGGAAUCGCUAGUAAUCGCAGAUCAGAACGCUGCGGUGAAUACGUUCCCGGGCCUUGUACACACCGCCCGUCACACCAUCCGAGUUGAGGAUACCCGAAGCCGUUACCCUAACCUUGUGAGGGGGGCGUCUAAGGUAUGCUUGAUAAGGAGGGUGAAGUCGGAACAAGGUA
rnacentral:rRNA from 1 species